AUAUGUUUAGGGAAUUGAGAUUUUUUGUAAUUUUGAAAACAUAAGCUGUGUAUUUGUGUAAUUUUUAGUAUUUUUUUAUUUACCAGCCCACUCCCCAUCCAAUUCACCAAUAACACCAGUUGCCCAACCAGCCCAACAACAAUUAACACAACAACUUAGGCCCAAAGCAAACUAACCCGGCCAAGCUCCCUAUUCUCCUUUAACGGAAUAGUGUACAACAGCAACAGUUGUGUACAAUAUGUGUCCAAUAGAAAAACAACGACUUCAACGAUCAGUUUCAACCUGAUAAAAACCAACGACUCGACGGUCUGAACCAUCAAAAACCCGAAUUCGCUGAUUAAUCCCCUUCUUAUCGACUCGAAUUCAUCGGCUCAACUCCAA
rnacentral:lncRNA from 1 species